rnacentral:rRNA from 1 species
GACGUAGGAGGCGAGCGUUGUCCGGAUUCAUUGGGCGUAAAGAGCGCGCAGGCGGCUUGGUAAGUCGGAUGUGAAAACCCGAGGCUCAACCUCGGGCGUGCAUCCGAUACUGCUCGGCUAGAGGUAGGUAGGGGAGAUCGGAAUUCCUGGUGUAGCGGUGGAAAUGACGCAGAUAUCAGGAGGAACACCGGUGGCGAAGGCGGAUCUCUGGGCCUUACCUGACGCUCAGGCGCGAAAGCUAGGGGGAGCAACUGG